rfam:Capsicum annuum cultivar Zunla-1 chromosome 6, whole genome shotgun sequence
GUUGAGGUGAAUGUUGUCUGGUUCGAGAUCUUUCAUUAGAAGGCAACAUGAAUGAAAAAUACUAUAGAAGGUAGAGAAUUUUACAUAUAUAUAUAUAUAUCGAAUGAUUUCGGACCAGGCUUCAUUCCCCUCAAC